rnacentral:rRNA from 1 species
GACGAACGCUGGCGGCGUGCUUAACACAUGCAAGUCGAACGGAAAGGCCCUGCUUUUGUGGGGUGCUCGAGUGGCGAACGGGUGAGUAACACGUGAGUAACCUGCCCUUGACUUUGGGAUAACUUCAGGAAACUGGGGCUAAUACCGGAUAGGAGCUCCUGCUGCAUGGUGGGGGUUGGAAAGUUUCGGCGGUUGGGGAUGGACUCGCGGCUUAUCAGCUUGUUGGUGGGGUAGUGGCUUACCAAGGCUUUGACGGGUAGCCGGCCUGAGAGGGUGACCGGCCACAUUGGGACUGAGAUACGGCCCAGACUCCUACGGGAGGCAGCAGUGGGGAAUAUUGCACAAUGGGCGGAAGCCUGAUGCAGCAACGCCGCGUGCGGGAUGACGGCCUUCGGGUUGUAAACCGCUUUCGCCUGUGACGAAGCGUGAGUGACGGUAAUGGGUAAAGAAGCACCGGCUAACUACGUGCCAGCAGCCGCGGUGAUACGUAGGGUGCGAGCGUUGUCCGGAUUUAUUGGGCGUAAAGGGCUCGUAGGUGGUUGAUCGCGUCGGAAGUGUAAUCUUGGGGCUUAACCCUGAGCGUGCUUUCGAUACGGGUUGACUUGAGGAAGGUAGGGGAGAAUGGAAUUCCUGGUGGAGCGGUGGAAUGCGCAGAUAUCAGGAGGAACACCAGUGGCGAAGGCGGUUCUCUGGGCCUUUCCUGACGCUGAGGAGCGAAAGCGUGGGGAGCGAACAGGCUUAGAUACCCUGGUAGUCCACGCUGUAAACGGUGGGUACUAGGUGUGGGGUCCAUUCCACGGGUUCCGUGCCGUAGCUAACGCUUUAAGUACCCCGCCUGGGGAGUACGGCCGCAAGGCUAAAACUCAAAGGAAUUGACGGGGCCCCGCACAAGCGGCGGAGCAUGCGGAUUAAUUCGAUGCAACGCGUAGAACCUUACCUGGGUUUGACAUGGAUCGGGAGUGCUCAGAGAUGGGUGUGCCUCUUUUGGGGUCGGUUCACAGGUGGUGCAUGCCUGUCGUCAGCUCGUGUCGUGAGAUGUUGGGUUAAGUCCCGCAACGAGCGCAACCCUUGUUCACUGUUGCCAGCACGUUAUGGUGGGGACUCAGUGGAGACCGCCGGGGUCAACUCGGAGGAAGGUGGGGAUGACGUCAAGUCAUCAUGCCCCUUAUGUCCAGGGCUUCACGCAUGCUACAAUGGCUGGUACAGAGAGUGGCGAGCCUGUGAGGGUGAGCGAAUCUCGGAAAGCCGGUCUCAGUUCGGAUUGGGGUCAGCAACUCGACCUCAUGAAGUCGGAGUCGCUAGUAAUCGCAGAUCAGCAACGCUGCGGUGAAUACGUUCCCGGG